rnacentral:lncRNA from 1 species
AGCACCAUGUGGCCACGAGCCACGAGCACUAUUCGCAUGCAAGCACCGCUCCAAGGGCUAUGCCACCGAGCCCCAUGCGGCCUGGCCACCAAGUCACUGUUUGCAUGCAACUCCGCGUCGAACAUCUUAGGCCUUGUUUAGUUUCUAAUUUUUUUUGUUUUAAAAUAUUAUAGCAUUUUCGUUUUAAUUUGAUAAACAUUAUUUAAUCAUAGACUAACUAACAUCAAAAGAUUCAUCUUGUGAUUUACACAUAAACUAUACAAUUAGUUUUAUUUUUAUUUUUAUUUAAUACUCCAUACAUAUGUUACAAGAUUCGAUGUGACAGUAAAUCUUGAAAAAUUUUGGCUACUUUUUGGUAACUUUUCAAAAUUUCACGUCCACAUCAAAUCUUGCGGCAAAUGCAUAGAGCAUU